rnacentral:lncRNA from 1 species
AAGUUCAAAAAAAGUUCCAAUUCUACACGGUUUUUUCUCUUAAUAAGUUUCCUAGUUUUGAUUAUUUAUAACAAUAUUUCUACAAAUACUUUGUCUUUUUGGUAAUCAUAUAAAUCUAAUAAUUAUUUAAAAUUAAUUAAAAUUUAAUCGAGUUUUAAAAAGAAUUAUUAGUAAAUUAACCAAAAUUUUAUAGGAUUUGCAUGAAUAUUGUUUAAGAGAGCAAAAGCAUCAUCAAGUUGUUCCCCAUCCACUUAUGCAACUUUAACUGCAAGUUAGUGUGAAAAGCGUCUCAAGCCAAGCUAAUAUUCAGAUACACUC